rnacentral:rRNA from 1 species
UUAGAGUUUGAUUCCAUGGCUCAGGAUGAACGCUGGCGGCGUGCCUAACACAUGCAAGUUGAACGGGUGUAGCAAUACAUCAGUAGCAAACGGGUGAGUAACACGUAAGUAACCUUCCCUCAAGACUGGCAUAACCUGCCGAAAGGCGGGCUAAUUCCAGAUGUGUCCCGGUGGACUUCUGUCUGCCGGAAUAAAUCCCGCAAGGGGCUUAAGGAUGGGCUUGCGGCCUAUCAGCUAGUUGGCGGGGUAAAUGCCCACCAAGGCUAUGACGGGUAGCUGGUCUGAGAGGACGACCAGUCACAAUGGAACUGCGACACGGUCCAUACUCCUACGGGAGGCAGCAGUGAGGAAUUUUCCGCAAUGGGCGAAAGCCUGACGGAGCGACGCCGUGUGGGUGAUGAAGUUUUUCGGAAUGUAAAGACCUGUCAGAGGGGACGAUAUUGACGGACCCUCAGAGGAAGCCAC